rnacentral:rRNA from 1 species
UACGUAGGGUGCGAGCGUUAAUCGGAAUUACUGGGCGUAAAGGGCGCGUAGGCGGCCUGUGCAAGUCAGUUGUGAAAUCUCCGAGCUUAACUCGGAACGGUCAACUGAUACUGCUCGGCUAGAGUGCGGAAGGGGCAACUGGAAUUCUUGGUGUAGCGGUGAAAUGCGUAGAUAUCAAGAGGAACACCUGCGGCGAAGGCGGGUUGCUGGGCCGACACUGACGCUGAGGCGCGAAAGCUAGGGGAGCGAACGGG